GACGAACGCUGGCGGCGUGCCUAAUACAUGCAAGUCGAGCGAUGAAGCUUGGUGCUUGCUCCAAUUUGAAGAGCAGCGAACGGGUGAGUAACGCGUGGGUAAUCUGCCUUUGAGCGGGGGACAACAUUUGGAAACGAAUGCUAAUACCGCAUAACAACUUUAAACAUAAGUUUUAAGUUUGAAAGAUGCAAUUGCAUCACUCAAAGAUGAUCCCGCGUUGUAUUAGCUAGUUGGUGAGGUAAAGGCUCACCAAAGCGAAGAUACAUAGCCGACCUGAGAGGGGGGUCCGGCACAAUUGGAAGGAGACAAGGCCCAAAAUCCUACGGGAAGCAGCAGUAGGGGAUCUUCGGGAAUGGAGGAAAGUCUGACCGAGGAAAGCCGCGGGAGUGAAGAAGGUUUUCGGAUCGUAAAACUCUGUUGGUAGAGAAGAAAGUUGGUGGGAGUGGAAAGCUCAUCAAGUGACGGUAACUAACCAGAAAGGGACGGCUAACUACGUG
rnacentral:rRNA from 1 species